GCAUUGCGGGGCUCGCUAGUGGGGCGUUGGCCUUCCUUAGGAGUGUGAGUCUGGCGUCAUCCCUUUUUUCCCGGCUGGGUCCCGGGAUACCCCACCAGCCCGACCUCAACCCACUCGCGUCCACAGCACGAGCCCCAGCGGCCUUGCGCGGUGCUUGCUCUCUAGUAGCGGCUGACUAGGUUAGUUCACUGAUUGAGAAGCGUUUUGCAGGACUCAUGCCCUGAGACCUUUCUGGUUGCAGAGAGUGGCCAUGGAGGCCUCCUGUCUC
rnacentral:lncRNA from 1 species